rnacentral:lncRNA from 1 species
UACUAAACAGUAACGGUGUAGUACAUGUAGCCUCACUACAGAGUGAUUAUUACCUCACUUAUCCAGAAAGACGCAGCCGCGCUGCGGACUGCGCGGCAUCUCGCCAUAAACCGGGGUUCCGCUGAAGUAGCUUGCAAUUUUAAGCUUCAAAUUAAGUUCCAUCGCGGGCGUCACAAUCGAACGGAAAUUCCAAGGUUCGAUGCACACAAGUGGCGAGACGACCCACCGACAACGAUGGCCUCUGCGGUGGCGGCCCCUAGCAGUGUCUCCUUGUACUUCUGGAGCGAGGGGUCCUCCUUGUCGGCCUCCACAAUGUCCUUGAGGCUCUUGGCAGCGGGAGGCUUGUAGUUGGGGUGGUCCUCGUCGUCCUCCACCUCGGGCACCGCCGUCUGCACCUUGUCGUCGGCCAUGGCCCACCUGUUUGCUAUUC